rnacentral:rRNA from 1 species
UUGGAAGUAAAAGUCGUAACAAGGUCUCCGUUGGUGAACCAGCGGAGGGAUCAUUACUGAGUUAUCAAAACUCCAAACCCUUUGUGAACCUUACCAUCGUUGCCUCGGCGUGAGCUACGGCUACCCUGUAACUACCCUGGAGCUACCCUAGAGUUACCCUAUAGCUACCCUGCACUUACCCUGCAGCUACCCUAUAGCUACCCUGGAGCUACCCUGGAGCUACCCUGUAGUCGGCUUCGGCCCGCCGAAGGACCGUUAAACUCUUGUUUUUACCACUGUUUCUCUGAAUUUUAAACCAAAAUAAGUUAAAACUUUCAACAACGGAUCUCUUGGUUCUGGCAUCGAUGAAGAACGCAGCGAAAUGCGAUAAGUAAUGUGAAUUGCAGAAUUCAGUGAAUCAUCGAAUCUUUGAACGCACAUUGCGCCCAUUAGUAUUCUAGUGGGCAUGCCUAUUCGAGCGUCAUUUCGACCCCUAAGCCCCUGUUGCUUAGCGUUGGGAAUCUACGGCGUAGUUCCUCAAAGUUAGUGGCGGAGUUAGGGUACACUCUCAGCGUAGUAAUUUCUCUCGCUCGUGUGGUGGCCCUGGCUGCUAGCCGUUAAAACCCCUAUAUUUUCUAGUGGUUGACCUCGGAUUAGGUAGGAAUACCCGCUGAACUUAAGCAUAUCAAUAAGCGGAGG